AACAUUUGACUCCCUUUUGCAAUGGGAAACCCUAAGAUGAGGGCAUCGAAGGAGAAGGUCUGCAGUUUCGUCGAAGAGGCAACGGAGCUCCCAUGGCGUCAGAGUCGGAUUACGGAUGGCAUUCACCAGUGUUAAACAGUCCGAUUCCAGGUCUAUUCGAUCCAUCUCCAGUCCUUUCUGUAUCACGAAUUUCAGUGUGAGAUUCAACGCUAUCACCUCUGUUUGCAGGGCCGAAGAUGUAGAGACAGAUUUCGCAAAUCCAUCGAUUAAUAUGCCUGAAGAAUUUCUGCACACACAAGCAACAGAAGCUUC
rnacentral:lncRNA from 1 species